rnacentral:rRNA from 1 species
CCUACGGGAGGCCGUAGUGGGGAAUUUUCGUCAAUGGGCGCAAGCCUGAACGAGCGAUGCCGCGUGAGUGAAGAAGGCCUUCGGGUCGUAAAGCUCUGUCGCGGGGGAAAAAAGGCAGCAUCAGGAAAUCGGUGCUGACUGAUGGUGCCCCGCCAGACAGUCCCGGCUAACUACGUGCCAGCAGCCGCGGUAAUACGUAGGUGGCGAGCGUUAUCCGGAAUGAUUGGGCGUAAAGCGUUCGCAGGCGGUCCUGCAAGUCAGCUGUGAAACGCAUGGGCUCAACUCAUGCAUGGCAUUUGAGACUGGAAGACUGGAGAGUAGGAGAGGGCGGUGGAACUCCAUGUGUAGCGGUAAAAUGCGUAGAUAUAUGGAAGAACACCAGUGGCGAAGGCGGCCGCCUGGCCGGUGGCUGACGCUGAGGUACGAAAGCGUGGGGAGCAAAUAGGAUUAGAUACCCGAGUAGUC